CAAACUUUUGAGGCUCUUCUGGUGGGAAAUAAGGAGCAAAAAUGCAACCUGGCAUGCAUUUUCUUCUCAAGAACUUGCAAGCAGCACAUGGAGAGUUGUAGGAACUUGAUGAUGCCAUCCUUGCCCUAACCCAUCAAAACUCAAAAGCCAACAACAUUCAUUCAAAAAAUGGUAACAGUACAAGAGAGUACAAGAGGUAUAUUUUUUCCCCUCAUUCUCUUACACCUUAAAGUUUGAAUUAAUUCGUUAAACAAGACAACCAUUAUAUAUGAAUAACUUAAAACAUUAAACCCAAUUAGUUCUUUGUUUCUUUUGUCUCUUAUAUAUUUAUUUUUGUUCAUUUUAAGUUAUAUAUAUACAUUACACAUCUCUGUGUAUGUGUAGUUUAAUCAGAAAAAGUAAAGGGAAUUUCUUUUAUUUUUAACAAAAGAAAAAAGAAAAAGAAAUUCUAGAACAAAGUCAGAUGAAAUUCAGAAGAACAUUAUAUUUAAAAUUUUGUAGCUGAUCCCAAGUAAUUUAUUUUUUGUUCAGAAUGAAGAUCUCUUUCUUUCUUUCACACGCGUGCGCACUAGAAAAAAACUCCCAUCGACAGACACGUACGAUACCCUAAAUUAAAUUUGCAGAAACAUCUGCAUAAAUUGCAGAUAUGUGUGUGUGUACACACACACACACACACACUAUUAUUGUUCUUCCCAUGCAUAUCCUAUACUCAAUUAUAUAUAUUAAUUUCAUUUCUUGAUCAAUUACGAAAAUGGAGAAUUGAAUCUAUGCUCGAAUUAGAGACUUACCGAAUUGUUGAUAUGGUAUUUUAAAAGGAAAAAAGAAGUUAGAUCUCUUCAUCUCUCCCAUUGCCAUAUAAUAGAUUUUGAUUUUUGCAAGUUAAUGAUAAUUAAUUAAACCCAUCAAUUAUUACUUUAUUUCUUUAUUAUUAUUUUUUUGGAAAGUGUAAAUUGAGAGAAGAAAGUAGAGGUUGCGUGCAAAGCAGCUACAAAGACAGGUUUCAUAUAUAUAUAUAUAUAUACAUAUAUUCUGCAAUUCAGGUGAAGAAGAUGAGACACAUGACUACUGGUGAAAAAUAAAGUAAAAAAAGAAAAAAAAGUCAUCAGAAAAAAUAUAUAUAUUUUAUAUAUGUUUUUCAACAUACAGACGUCAAAAAAGAAGAGAAAAAAAACCAUAUGAUAUAACACAAUGGGUAAGAGAAAGCCCUAAAUUAAGCUCAACCUAGCCACAUAUACAGUCAAAAAUUAGGGUCUACAUUAAUUUCUUUCUUUAGCCUUUUUACUAACCCUAUAUAUAUAUAUAUAUAUAUAUAAAUUCAUAAGAACAAACAAAAACUAACCUUUAUUCUUUAAUUUGAAUUUUUUUAUUACUUAUACAAACAAAACAAAAGAAAGCUACAUAUAUAUGUGUCUGUGUGUGUGUGUAAACUUACAUCUCAUCAUGUGUGAUCUAGGGUCUUUCCCCUUUUUUUUUUUUCUUUUGGAAUCAAUUCAAAAAACUAAAACAAUAAAAACCCACCAAAAAAGGAAGUUCCUUUUUUAAAUUACCUUUCAAGUGUGUGAGAAAAGCUCUAAACCCUCUUUUUCUCCCUUUCCCCUUUGAUCAUAAACUAAAAGAAGUCUUAUGAGAUUUGGUAAUUUAGGGCUGAAUUUGAUGAAGAACCCUAAUUUUGAAGAAGGAAGAAGAAAGAAAGAGAGAGACGGGUGAGAGAGAAACAAAAGAAGAGAGGGUAUUGAGUGGAAGUGAAAGAUUGGGAGAAGCUAAGAGAGUAUAUUUAGUGGAUGGGAAGAGAGAAAGGGGUAAGGGGGGGAAUGGAAUGGAGAGGGGAUAUGCAAAAGACAAGGAUAAUAAAUGGUGGGUACACUAACAAAAGAAUGACUAUGACCCUGCAUCCAAUAAUAAUAUCAGGGUUGUGGGAUUGUCUCCCAUUUUUAUUCCAUUCUUUCUUUCUUUCUUUCUUUUCUUUCUCAUGCACUCUAUUACACACACAUAUAUACCUAUCAUUUAUAUUUCUUUGUCUGUUUUUGUCAUUAAUAACUCACAAUUAAGGAUUAUACCAUUUUCAAUUCACAUACUAACACACAGUAUAUAUGUAUCAUAAAAAGUAUAUACAAUUGAGAAUGAAAAGAUUUGACAACUUACAUAUAUAUGCAUUCAUAUAGAAAAUGAAAAUGAGAAAUAAAGAAAAGAUGAAAGGUUAAGCAUAGUAAUUAGAGAUUUUUGAAAUGGUUCAUUCAUAGCGUCAUAGAAAGAGUGUGGUUUUAUUAUUAGGGUUAGUAUUUUGUUGAUCAAAACAAAAACAUAUAUAUAUAUAUAUGACCUUUAAUUUUUAAUAAAUAUUUGUUUUUAGGUUUAGGGUGUGAUAAGAUUACAUGUGUGUAUCAACCUCGUUAAAAUACUAGAGUGCACACCUAGGAUCUCUCUUCCUUCAGUAUUUAAAAGAAAUGGGUACAUUGCAAAGACCAUCAUUAGAAUGUAGUGGUCGUUGUAGAUGCAGUUGCCUUCUCAAACUUUAGCUAUAAAGACUAUACGAACAUGUAUGACUGAUAUAUAGUUGAAUGGUACCAAAGAUAUGUCAAUCUAGUUGAGAUAUAUUUCAUUUCACCUUCUAAUCUUUCUCUUAUAGUAUCUUGUUUAAAAUUAGAUCCGAAUGGAUAAAAGUUAAACUCUCAAAAGCUUAUACAAUACUAUCACAAAUAACUUACAACUUCUACAAGUUUAAUGAGAGUAAUUUAAUUUUAAUUCUUGUAACAAAGUUUAAAAGGCUCAAUUUUUACCAUUAAAAAUUCAAUGGUUUAAUUACAAUUACUACUCCAACCUUACUAAUUUAAAGAAUUUUUUUUGAAAUUUUUUUAAAAACUUUAGAAUUAGAAAGUUUAUAUAUAGCACCAUCUAAACCCUUGGAUCGAAAACCGUACAUAACAUAUAAUAUAUGUACAGAAUUUAAGUCAAUAAUGCAUUUCUUACACUAUAUGAUCUAGAAUUUAUAGAUCAAGAAUGAAAUUUUGUGGGGGUAUUUGAAGUUAUUUUUCUUAUACAUGAUAAACUCAUCAAAAGAAAGGGAAGAAAUAUAUAGAAUAAAAAAAAAGAAUUGAUUUGAGGGAUUUAUCACCAUUGUACUGACCGAGGCCAUGAAUUGCAACUUGCAAAAUAAACCACAUAUAUAUAUAUAUAUAUAAUUCUCUUUUUU